CGUAAAGCGAGUGCAGGCGGUUCAAUAAGUCUGAUGUGAAAGCCUUCGGCUCAACCGGAGAAUUGCAUCAGAAACUGUUGAACUUGAGUGCAGAAGAGGAGAGUGGAACUCCAUGUGUAGCGGUGGAAUGCGUAGAUAUAUGGAAGAACACCAGUGGCGAAGGCGGCUCUCUGGUCUGCAACUGACGCUGAGGCUCGAAAGCAUGGGUAGCGAACAGGAUUAGAUACCCUGGUAGUCCAUGCCGUAAACGAUGAGUGCUAAGUGUUGGGAGGUUUCCGCCUCUCA
rnacentral:rRNA from 1 species